rnacentral:rRNA from 1 species
AACAAACGCUGGCGGCGUGCCUAACACAUGCAAGUCGUACGAGAAAGUUGGCUUCGGCCGAUGAGUAAAGUGGCGCACGGGUGAGUAACGCGUGGAUAAUCUGCCCUUUAGUGGGGAAUAACCCAUCGAAAGGUGGGCUAAUACCACAUAAUGCUAUUUCCACUCCGGUGGGAUAGCCAAAGAUGGCCUCUGCUUGCAAGCUGUCGCUGAAGGAUGAGUCCGCGUACCAUUAGCUGGUUGGUAGGGUAAUGGCCUACCAAGGCUACGAUGGUUAGCUGGUCUGAGAGGAUGAUCAGCCACACUGGAACUGAGACACGGUCCAGACUCCUACGGGAGGCUG